rnacentral:rRNA from 1 species
GACGUAGGGCGCGAGCGUGUCCGGAUUUAUUGGGCGUAAAGAGCUCGUAGGCGGCUUGUCGCGUCGUCCGUGAAAACUUGGGGCUCAACCCCAAGCUUGCGGUCGAUACGGGCAGGCUAGAGUUCGGUAGGGGAGACUGGAAUUCCUGGUGUAGCGGUGAAAUGCGUAGAUAUCGUAAGGAAGACCAGUGGCGAAGGCGGGUCUC